AUGAUUCCCUAACCUUUCACUCAAGCCUGUCCUGUCUGCACGGUCUAUUUUUUUUUUUUUUUUUUACCCAAAUGCCACUUAGUCACAUUUUAUUCAUUACAUUCUCUUUUUUUUUUAAAGAUUUUAUUUAUUCAUUCAUAAGAGAAUGAGCUGAUGGCAACAAGAAAAGGGUGGAGCGAGCUGCUGCCUCUGCAGGCCCUCCAAGCCCAGGUAACGAACCCCCAAAACCCACAGGGAGCAAUCCCAAGACAGAGGCCUGGGAGAGCAGGGGUUUGCAAAGCUUUGCCUGGGAGUUCUGAAUCUAAACGUCUGUCCCCGAGGCCCAGGUUGAGAGAAGCAGUGAAGGAUGACGCCAAAUUCCAACGUGUAAAACAUGAUCAUGUUUUACGAAGCACUUUUAAUUUUUUUUAAUUUUUUUAUUAUUCAUGAGAGACCCAGGCAGAGGGAGAAGCAGGCUCACUGCAGGGAGCCCAAUGCGGGACUCAAUCCCGGGACCCCAGGAUCAUGCCCUGAGACGAAGGCAGACGCUCAAGCACUGAGGCACCAGGCGUCCCUACGGAGCACUCUUAGAACGUCUGCCGAGGGCCCUCCGGGCGCCCUCACUGUGCCUCUGCCCAGCCUUUGCUUCAUCUCCUUGUCACAACCUGAGAAGUGGGUAUCAGGGUCAUUGAUGCUCCGGGCGCAGACACGAAAGCCAGUGCUCAGGAUCUCAACGACAGUACGUGGCCGGGCCAGGACGAGAACGCGGGUCGUCCAGGAGCCCGCGGCCCCCCGGAGCCCCCCGGAGCCCCCCGGAGCCCCCCGGCGGGGCACAUCCAGCACGUGCCUCCCCGUCCAGCGGAGCUCCAGGAGCCAGAGCGCGUCGUCCAAAAAAGUUGGAUAUAAGAAGUGGUCCCGCACCUGAACAUGUACAAACCCGACAAAGAUGCCCAGAACCAGGAGCAGCAUAAGCUGUCGGGACUCGAGGAUGGGAAAACGAGAGCUUUCCUCCGGGAGGCUUUUCCAGAAGAGAGAGGCGAGGAAAGCAGGUUUGAGAAGGGGGAAGGCAAAGGGUAAGGUGCUCUCCCGAUCUACCCUAAGGGUCAGGAAAUUCUCCUAACAUCUAGUCUCCCCUCUAAGCUCCCAGAUGCAUGCUGCACCCUGCAGGUCCCCAAAGGGGAGAACCGGGGCCCCCUCCUCCGUGAACCACUGAGUCCUGACAGUGGCAAGGACAGGAACCCACAGGCAGGUGCGGGGAGAGAACAAGGGUAGCAGAGCCGGGGACAGCAGCAUGCUGAGGGCGGGCGGGGCCGGGGGGCCGACGGCACACUGUGCACCUGCCCUCGGAGACCGGCUAUUCCAGGGAAGACCACGGUGACGCACAACAGAGCGUGACCCGAAUGUCAGAGCAGAGCCACCUAAGGGGUCAUCUUGGUCGACACCCUUCCUCAGCAACCCGAGAAACUGGGUGCGGAUUGUGGGGGGGGAAGCAAGGGUAGGACUAGAACCCCUAAGCCUGGACACAUUUCGCCCCGCAUCACAACGAGCCACGAGACUAGGAUAGAGGCCCAUGGAAGAGGACCCCAAAUCCCCACCCGCCCACCCGCCUCCCCCAUCCCAGCAAGCUCAUGAGGGCUGUCACCCACCCAUAACGUUUACGGGGCGCGUCUCAGCUAGGUGCUUCAGCUACGAGGAAUAAUCCCCUCCACCCAAGAAGGGAGCGCAUCUGCGGCCCUCCAGGGAAGGAGCCGGCUCUGUGACCCGCCCCCCUCACCUGCGUUCUGGAAGUUCUCAGGCCUCACCUCACUCCUUCCUGCUGCAACAUCGGGCCCAGUUUCUCGAGGCCUCGGAAGGCACCUGCUCGCUGACCUGGCCUGGAAAGGGGGGAGGCCGCCUGCGCUCCCCACGGCCCUCUCCUGGCCCCCGACUUGGCCCAUCCAUGAUCUCCACGGUGGCAUGAGAGCCCAGGGAGCUGUGCCAGCAGGAGCUUGUGGGCAGGGAGGGGGCAGAGAGAGCAGAAGACCAGCAGGAAGAUGUUGGGGGAAGAUGUGGACAGUGGACGGGGAAGGACACGCAGAUCCCACCUACGGUCUCGCUUUUUUAAAGUCUAGGCUGAUGAUUUCUAGAUGCAGAGGAAGACGAUUCUAAGGCUUGCGGCACUUCCUUUUCUUUAUUCAAAUAAUACAAAUUCAUUGUUGAAAAAUUUAACACAAUAUAGGGAAUAAAAUAAAAUUAGGAACAGUAUAACUCUUUCCAAAAACGACAACCUGGAAUAGUCACUAUCAACAGUUUGGUGCAUGACCUUCCAGACUUUUCUGCGUGUAAAUAUCUUUUCGUUAUUCAUUCAACUGAUGUUUAUUGGAUGCUUUCUCUGGGCCAGGUAUGGUCCUAGCACCAGGGAUAAAGUAGCCGAUGAAACAGAUAAAUAGGGUAGCCCGGGUGGCUCAGCGGUUUAGCGCCGCCUUUGGCCCAGGGUGUGAUCCUGGAGACCCGGGAUCGAGUCCCACGUCUGCCUGUGUCUCUGCCUCUCCCUCUCUCUGUGUCUCUCGUGACUAAAUAAAUAAAAUCUUUAAAAAAAAAAAAAAAGAAAGAAAGAAACAGAUAAAUAUCCAAGCCCUUAUGGAACGUGCGUCUUAUAACGAUGCACCCACGUGUAACGCGCAUGUUC
rnacentral:lncRNA from 1 species